GACGAACGCUGGCGGCGUGCCUAAUACAUGCAAGUUGAGCGCUGAAGGUUGGUACUUGUACCGACUGGAUGAGCAGCGAACGGGUGAGUAACGCGUGGGUAAUCUGCCUUUGAGCGGGGGACAACAUUUGGAAACGAAUGCUAAUACCGCAUAAAAACUUUAAACACAAGUUUUAAGUUUGAAAGAUGCAAUUGCAUCACUCAAAGAUGAUCCCGCGUUGUAUUAGCUAGUUGGUGAGGUAAAGGCUCACCAAGGCGAUGAUACAUAGCCGACCUGAGAGGGUGAUCGGCCACAUUGGGACUGAGACACGGCCCAAACUCCUACGGGAGGCAGCAGUAGGGAAUCUUCGGCAAUGGACGAAAGUCUGACCGAGCAACGCCGCGGGAGUGAAGAAGGUUUUCGGAUCGUAAAACUCUGUUGGUAGAGAAGAACGUUGGUGAGAGUGGAAAGCUCAUCAAGUGACGGUAACUACCCAGAAAGGGACGGCUAACUACGUG
rnacentral:rRNA from 1 species